UGGGAAAGGUGGUGUGGGGGACGCGAGAGCUCAGCCACACUGUUUUCCUCGGUGAGGCUGCGGUCACAAUCCUUCCAGAAGUCAAAGCUGUUAGCACGCGCAGUCUGCUCUGUCUUCCUUGGUCGCCAGGAACCUAGCCCCACAUUCUGGAGCCCGGAGACCGCUGACGCCUCUCCAGUUUGCUCCAGGUCCUCUCCCUCCCACCUCUCCACCUCCGAAGUAGCGCUCCAGCCUCGCUCCGCCCGCACAGCCCCAGCGCCCCCGAGCUUUAUCAGGCUCCCCACACACAUCGCUGGCUUCCUUUGGCACCCAGCGCUGGUGACCCUAGCCGAGCAGCCACCGCCUCGGAGCCCAGUCUCCCUCCUCCCGCGCCUGGGUCAUCGCGCCUCCGGGUUUUGCUCCCCCAAGCGCCGCGGCGCCCACCGCCUUUCAGGUUCAUCCUGAGCUGGACCUGUUUUGCUCAUCCCUAAACCCGGAGAAGUGGAAUCUGCACACUGAAACUCUCGGUGGCUGGAGCGGCGGACUGGGCAUGCUCAGAAGCCAGGCUUGGCUUUGGUCUCAAGUCGAGGGAAGCUUUUGCACUCGCGAGGCAGCGGCGACUUUAGGGAAAGUUGAUCCGAGAGGGGAGGAAGCCCCAAGACGCGGAGCAGCGGCAGGAAGGAGCCCCCGGCAGCCCGGAGGAGCAUGGGCACCCUGCGGGAUUUACAGUACGCGCUCCAGGAGAAGAUCGAGGAGCUGAGGCAGCGGGAUGCUCUCAUCGAUGAGCUGGAGCUGGAGUUGGAUCAGAAGGACGAACUGAUCCAGAAGCUGCAGAAUGAACUGGACAAGUACCGCUCGGUAAUCCGGCCGGCCACCCAGCAGGCUCAGAAGCAGAGCGCCAGCACCUUGCAGGGUGAACCGCGCACCAAGCGCCAGGCGAUCUCCGCGGAGCCCACCGCCUUCGACAUCCAGGAUCUCAGCCACGUGACCCUGCCCUUCUACCCCAAGAGCCCACAGUCGAAGGAUCUCAUAAAGGAGGCUAUCCUUGACAAUGACUUCAUGAAGAACUUGGAGCUGUCACAGAUCCAGGAGAUUGUGGAUUGUAUGUACCCCGUGGAAUAUGGGAAGGACAGCUGCAUCAUCAAGGAAGGCGAUGUGGGGUCACUGGUGUAUGUCAUGGAAGGUAUGGUUAGUAACUUGUUCUCUGCCACUCGUUGCCUUUCCAUCUUGAGUUUCUCAAGGAUCGCAAUGUACUCUGUGGAACAAUUCCUAUCUUCCUUCUUUUAUUGGGAAACGACUUGA
rnacentral:lncRNA from 14 species